CAGCAGCCGCGGUAAUACGAAGGGGGCUAGCGUUGUUCGGAAUUACUGGGCGUAAAGGGCGCGUAGGCGGCCAUUCAAGUUAGAUGUGAAAGCCCUGGGCUCAACCUAGGAAUUGCAUUUGAUACUGUUUGGCUUGAGUUCGGGAGAGGUGAGUGGAAUUCCCAGUGUAGAGGUGAAAUUCGUAGAUAUUGGGAAGAACACCAGUGGCGAAGGCGGCUCACUGGACCGUUUCUGACGCUGAUGCACGAAAGCUAGGGGAGCAAACAGGAUUAGAUACCCGCGUAGUCCCUGUCUCUUAUAC
rnacentral:rRNA from 1 species